rnacentral:rRNA from 1 species
UACGAAGGGGGCUAGCGUUGCUCGGAAUCACUGGGCGUAAAGGGUGCGUAGGCGGGUCUUUAAGUAAGGGGUGAAAUCCUGGAGCUCAACUCCAGAACUGCCUUUGAUACUGAGGAUCUUGAGUUCGGGAGAGGUGAGUGGAACUGCGAGUGUAGAGGUGAAAUUCGUAGAUAUUCGCAAGAACACCAGUGGCGAAGGCGGCUCACUGGCCCGAUACUGACGCUGAGGCACGAAAGCGUGGGGAGCAAACAGG